UACAGAGGGUGCGAGCGUUACUCGGAAUUACUGGGCGUAAAGCGCGCGUAGGCGGCUUUUCAAGUCGAUUGUGAAAUCCCCGGGCUUAACCUGGGAACUGCAGUCGAGACUGUCUAGCUAGAGUAUGGGAGAGGGAAGUGGAAUUUCAGGUGUAGCGGUGAAAUGCGUAGAUAUCUGAAGGAACAUCAGUGGCGAAAGCGACUUCCUGGACCAAUACUGACGCUCAUGUGCCAAAGCGUGGGGAGCAAACAGG
rnacentral:rRNA from 1 species